rnacentral:rRNA from 1 species
AUGAACGCUGGCGGCGUGCUUAACACAUGCAAGUCGAACGGAAAGGCCCAAGCUUGCUUGGGUACUCGAGUGGCGAACGGGUGAGUAACACGUGGGUGAUCUGCCCUGCACUUCGGGAUAAGCCUGGGAAACUGGGUCUAAUACCGGAUAGGACGAUGGUUUGGAUGCCAUUGUGGAAAGUUUUUUCGGUGUGGGAUGAGCCCGCGGCCUAUCAGCUUGUUGGUGGGGUAAUGGCCUACCAAGGCGUCGACGGGUAGCCGGCCUGAGAGGGUGUACGGCCACAUUGGGACUGAGAUACGGCCCAGACUCCUACGGGAGGCAGCAGUGGGGAAUAUUGCACAAUGGGCGCAAGCCUGAUGCAGCGACGCCGCGUGGGGGAUGACGGCCUUCGGGUUGUAAACUCCUUUCGCUAGGGACGAAGCGUUUUUGUGACGGUACCUGGAGAAGAAGCACCGGCUAACUACGUG